UUGAGCGAUUUACUUCGGUAAAGAGCGGCGGACGGGUGAGUAACGCGUGGGUAACCUACCCUGUACACACGGAUAACAUACCGAAAGGUAUGCUAAUACGGGAUAAUAUAUUUGAGAGGCAUCUCUUAAAUAUCAAAGGUGAGCCAGUACAGGAUGGACCCGCGUCUGAUUAGCUAGUUGGUAAGGUAACGGCUUACCAAGGCGACGAUCAGUAGCCGACCUGAGAGGGUGAUCGGCCACAUUGGAACUGAGACA
rnacentral:rRNA from 1 species